rnacentral:tRNA from 1 species
GCUCUUGUAACUCAGUUGGUUAGAGCACCUAUUUAGUAAGCGGGAGGUUUUGAGCUCAACUCUCAACAAGAGGA